GACUUAGACAAACGUAACAAAAAUACCUCCUGGGAAGAGCUUUAGGGAAGGGAAGAAGAGAAAAGAGGAAAGGGGAAGAGAACCCAACCUAGGGUUGGAAGAUUGAAGAAUUGAAGAGGGGUUUCAAGGAUUUAGCUUAAGGUCACUCAUCGGAAGGGACCACCGCACAACCGGAUCACUGUAGUCAGCUAGGAGGCCAGCCCUAGGUUAGCUUUAGGCGCCUUUUGUGGACAUUUUUCCUUAAACCAAGUGGAGUCUUUUUGUUUCUUAAGGGGUUCAGUGCCACAUUUUUGUAAUGAUGUUGGUGGCUUUGUUGCACAUUUUAUGAUUUUGGUUUCGAAUCACACUCACAAAAACACACUCAUUCCUUCUUCUCCGUCGAACCCACCCUCACCGGCGACCUAAUACCAGUGGCGACCCAGUCUCGACGCCGUUGCAGAUCCGACGACGGGGAAACACUCUCGACGCCGUUACAGAUUCUGUCUACUUGGCAAAUCAGAAAUGAUGAAAAUUUGGUCCACUGGACUUGCUGUGGUUGUGACACUCGCAAUUUUAUUGUCAAGCCUGUAAUUGGUCUUUGGGAUUAGAUUUGUGAUUGAUAGGGAGGAAUGUUUCUCACACAAGGUUGAAUACGAUGGCGACACAAUUCAUUUCUCCUUUGUUUGUUAUUAAGCCUGAGGGUUCGUGGCAUUAUGCUCCUGAUGGGGUUAAUCUUGUGAAAAAAUGGUUUUGCUGCAUGCAAGCCCCGGAUGCUGAAUCUUGAGGCUAUUUCCCUGAGCAAGAGCUAUAGUAAAAGAACAUGUUCAUAGUUGGUCCCACCACAUUUUAGGAGCUGUAGAUCGAUGAUGGGUGCUGCUUGAAUCCAUUUUAUGUGUUGUAAAACUGCAUUUUUUGUGGGGAAAGAGUAAAAUAUGAAAAGAAAAAAGGAAAAAAGAAAAGAAAAGAAAAGAAAAGAACUUUAUUGUAUGUAUAUGUACUGAUUUGGUGGAUUAUCAUGUGAAGCUUUAGCUAUUGGUUUGUUGUUUCUGGCUUGUACUAUGGGCAGUAGAGCUUGUCCAUUCUAUGAUUUUCCUUUUCUUUCUCAUCUCAUGUCUUACUUGUUUGAUUAGUAGAGUGGUUUUUGGUUCA